UCCUUCCGCCAGCCCCGCGCCGGCCUGACGCUCGGGAGCCGGAGUCCCCACCUGAGCUUUUGGUGCACUCCUGCUCUGCGGUGAGGAUGAACCCGUCACGUUUUGGUGACGUUUAUCUGGGAGAAAGCUGUUCUGCCACCUAGAGCUGUCCAGGGCAGAAUGAAGCAGAAACACAUCCACUCUCAAUCCUUCAACUCUGCUUCUUCCUAUGGUGAUUAUUAGCAGAUGUGGCUGCUGUUUAUUGCAAGUGCUGGAGGCUGCUUCUUGGCCUCAUUGGCUGUCCAUACUCAUGACAACUCCAGCCCCAGUAUUUCUUGAGAGGGCAGUUCUUGCUGUACCCGUGAACUGUGGGGGCCACCUGAAUAUACUUCACGGACCCCAUGAAAAUGCCUUUGGAUUUGCCAAGAUGACCUCCUCCACCUGGAGCAUUGUGAUCAUUCACACCAUCAGCUCUGUAAGAGAAUCGCAGUCCUGCAGUGUAUUGUAAAAGUUGGGAAUCUGUUUGCUGAGAAACUGCAUCUUAGUGCAAUAUUUUUUUAGACAUCUUAUUUAUUUGUUCAUGAGAGACACAGAGAGAGGCAGAGAUAUAGGCAGAGGGAGAAGCAAGACUCCAUCCCAGGACCGCAGGAAUCAUGUCCUGAGCCAAAGGCAGAUACUCAACCACUGAGCCACCCAGAUACCCCUCAUUGUAAUUUUUAUAACUAGUUUUCUUCUCAUGGGUUAGGUUGGGCAUUCUUUCAUAUGUGGAAGGGUUAUUCGCAUUGGUGUUUCAGUGAGCAGUCUAUAUCCUUUGCAUGGUGUUUUUUGUUUGUUUGUUUUUUGUUUUUUAAUUAAGUUUUUGCUUUUCCCCUCAAUUUCUAAGAGCUUUUUUGGUAUCUGAAGCUCAGUAUUCUGUCCCGGACAUAAUGAAAAUAUUUUCUCCCAGCUUAUUAAUAUUACUGUGUCUUUUGAUUUUUGAUGCUUAUUAUCCUAUGAAUCUGUCAUAUGCUUACAGGUGAAUUAAAAUCUCUCCCUGCUGUGGGUUGCGUCUGUUUCCCGUUCGGUCUCCUACAGUUUCCUUGGGAAUAUUGCUGCUGGGUAUUUAGAUCAUAACAAAGUGCCCUUCCUGUCAUUUCUAAUGGUUUGGGGGCAGAACUCUACUCUGUCUGACUUUCCUAUCAGGAGCACAGCUUCCUUUUAUUUGUAUACGCUUUGCUAUACUUUGCUCAUCUCUUUAACUGAAUUGAAUCACUUUUAUGAGGUGUGUCUCUUGUGCAUAGCAUAGAGUUGGGUUUUGCUUUGUGAUAAAAUCUGAAGAUCUUUCUCUUUUAUUACAUGAUUCAAUCCCAUUUUCAUUUAAUGAUUAAUGCAUACAUUUGGUAUUAGCUCUGUCCCAUUAUUUUCUGUUGUAUUUCAGUUUUUAGGGCAUUUUUUUAAAAGUCUUUAUAUCGUUUGUUUUCUUUGCUUUUUGUAUAGAGUUUACGUUUAAGGUAUGUAAUCUCAUUUUACUGGCUAUACUUGUAUAAAUAUAGUAUUUUUUGAAAGAUUUAUUUAUUAUUUGAGAGACAGAGAGAGAGAGUGUGAGGAGGGGCAGUGGGAGAGAAUCUUCAAGGGGACUCCCUGCUGAGCACAGAGCUGGAUGUGGGCUUCGAUCUCACCACUCUGAGAUCAUUACCCGAGCUAAAACCAAGAAUCAGCCACUUAACUGACAGAACCACCCAGGCACUCCUUGUAUAAAUUCAAUAUUACCCACUCUUUUACUCAUUAAUUUUUAGACAGCACUGAUGACAUUAGAACCUUCUCCCUCCCUCUUUUUCUUCUAUAACCUGAUUUUAUCAGUCAUAUAUUUUUCAGUGUUUACAUUUGAGCAGCAUUGUCCACUCGCUCAUGCAGACUUUCAGUGAUCACUAAGGGAUUGCCUGUCCCUCCCAUUCUCAUCUACGUGUGGCCCUCCAUCACAUGACCUCUGCAUCAGUGUGUGUAGUUUGCACAUUCCUCUCCUUGCCCUUUGUCACCCCCUUCAGUGCCAGUCUUGCAGCAUCGCAGCAGUGCUUUGGGUUGACUGUAAUUCCUCCUCUGAGAGUUCCCCAGGAAUGUCUCCUGGGGGUCAUGGUCUCUGAAUUUGUGCAACUUCAAAAAUGUUUGCUGUCUGUUCAUUUGAAGGAAAGCUUGGUUGGAAAUAAAGUUCUCAUGUCAUGGACUUGUUGUUACUCUGUUUUUAAUCUUAGAGUUCUUGCUCCACUGUCUUCAGAGUUACUGCUGCAUUGUCUUCAGGUAUCGAUCAUUGCUGUGAAGAAAUCAGAAGCCAGGGUACCUAGGGGGCUCAGUUGGGUAAGCAUCUGCCUGCAGCUCAAGUCAUGAUCCUGGUGUGCUGGGAUCAAGCGCAAUGUAGGGCUCCUUGCUUAGCAAGGAGUCUGCUUCUGCCCCUCCCCCUGCUUGUGCUUUCUUGCUCUCUCAUAGAUAGAUAGAUAGAUAGAUAGAUAGAUAAAAACAAACCUUAAAAAAAAAAAGAGGAAAGAAAGAAAUCAGAAACUAGACCAUCCUUUUGCCCGCAAAGGAGUCUGUCUUUACCUUUAAGGCUGGGUAACCUCACUAGGAUGUGUGUGUCCCUUGAAGAUUCUCAUCAGCUUCUCAGACAUAGUGUGUGCUUUUCUCACUUAGAAUCAUGCAUGCUUUUACAUCAGGAAGUUUUUAAAAAGUUUUUAAAAUCAUAUUUUAAAAUCAUAUUCAAGUAUAUGCCCCGUUUUACCGUUCCUGUUAUUAUUGUCGUUACAAAUAGGGAGAGUCUAGCCACGCAGACUGUUUUAUGUUGUAGUCUUCAAUCUCUUUUAUCUUUUCUCUGAUUAUUCUAAACUUCCAGUCUCCAUUGUUCACUUUCCUCAUUACUACCUUCUAUUUCUCUACAUUUUUGUCGAUUAUCUCUUAUCCCUUGUAUAUCUUCCAAUUGAUCUUCAUUUCUGUAUGAUCUUCCCAUUUAUUUGUCUGUUUAAUCUUGCCAUUUCUUACUUAUGGUCUUGUGUUUCUCUUAUAGAGUCUUUCUUCAUUUACUUAGAGACUUUUUCUUUAGAAUUUUUUCCUAAGAACAAGAAUGUUCCUUAGUUAUUGGUAUUAAGUAAUCUCUAGUAUAUUUUAAGUGAAGAAAGCAACAGGCAGAGCUCUGUGUGACUGAUUAUAUAAAAAGGGAAAAAGAAAGAAGAAAUAUAAUUGUGCCUGCAUAUGCAUAAAAUAUUUCUGAUAUAAUAUUCAAGAAAUGGUGACAUUGUGGACCUCCACGUGGGAGGAAAUGCAUAUUCUGGAAACAUUGACAAAAGGGAGAAUUUUUUUUAAUUUUUCUGCCUCUGGUAACUUUGGAAUUUUGAACCAUAUGAAUGUAUGAUCUCUUCAAGUGAAAUGAACUUGAUACAAAUACAAAUAAAAUAAAAACAGGUCAGC
rnacentral:lncRNA from 1 species